UAGAGGAAGUAAAAGUCGUAACAAGGUUUCCGUAGGUGAACCUGCGGAAGGAUCAUUCAUAAUUGAGUGUUUUAUGGCACUCUUUAAAAAAAUCCAUAUCCACCUUGUGUGCAACGUUUUUAGACACCCUGGCAUUGAUAUCUCUUUUAGGGAAGGAAAGCCAGGAUGUUUGAUUAACUUAACUCAACUCCUUUAAAACAGUUUGUCUGAAUACCUAUUUCUGAAUAAACAUAAUUCAAAAAUACAACUUUCAACAACGGAUCUCUUGGCUCUCGCAUCGAUGAAGAACGCAGCGAAAUGCGAUACGUAAUGUGAAUUGCAGAAUUCAGUGAAUCAUCGAAUCUUUGAACGCACAUUGCGCUCUCUGGUAUUCCGGAGAGCAUGCUUGUUUGAGUAUCAGUAAACACCUCAAUUUCAUGAUUUUAUAUCUUGAAAUUGGACUUGAGCAUAUCCCAACGUGUAUUUAAUUAUAUGGAGGGUUGCUUCAAAUGCAGGUGCAGCCGAUCAUUCUUCUGGGCUAAAAGCAUUAUCUAGUUAGUCCCGUAAAACGGAUUAUUCAUUUUAUUGCUGCAGCUUACCUUUGAAAGGAAGACAUGGCCAUUGUGCUGACUGAUGCAGGAUUUCUCAGAGGGUCUGCAAAGACUUUUUGAAAACUCGAUCUCAAAUCAAGUAAGACUACCCGCUGAACUUAAGCAUAUCAAUA
rnacentral:rRNA from 1 species